rnacentral:rRNA from 1 species
UGGAGACAGGUGCUGCAUGGGCUGUCGUCAGCUCGUGUCGUGAGAUGUUGGGUUAAGUCCCGCAACGAGCGCAACCCCUAUCUUUAGUUGCCAUCAUUGAGUUUGGGCACUCUAAAGAGACUGCCGGUGACAAACCGGAGGAAGGUGGGAUGACGUCAAGUCCUCAUGGCCCUUAUGUCCAGGGCUACACACGUGCUACAAUGGUCGCUACAGAGUGACGCGAAGCCGCGAGGUGGAGCUAAUCUCAUAAAGCCGGUCUCAGUUCGGAUUGGAGUCUGCAACUCGACUCCAUGAAGUUGGAAUCGCUAGUAAUCGCGGAUCAGCACGCCGCGGUGAAUACGUUCCCGGGCCUU